rnacentral:rRNA from 1 species
UACGUAGGUGGCGAGCGUUGUCCGGAAUUACUGGGUGUAAAGCGCGUGUAGGCGGGAGGCCAAGUCUGCGGUGAAAUCGCUCGGCUCAACUGGGCGGGGUCCGUGGAAACUGGUCACCUGGAGGACGGUAGAGGCGAGUGGAAUUCCCGGUGUAGUGGUGAAAUGCGUAGAGAUGGGGAGGAACACCAGUGGCGAAGGCGGCUCGCUGGGCCGGACCUGACGCUGAGACGCGAAGGCGUGGGGAGCGAACGGG